rnacentral:rRNA from 1 species
CACGCAUGCUACAAUGGCCGGUACAAAGGGCUGCAAUACCGCAAGGUGGAGCGAAUCCCAAAAAGCCGGUCUCAGUUCGGAUUGGGGUCUGCAACUCGACCCCAUGAAGUCGGAGUUGCUAGUAAUCGCAGAUCAGCAACGCUGCGGUGAAUACGUUCCCGGGCCUUGUACACACCGCCCGUCACAUCACGAAAGUCGGUAACACCCAAAGUCAGUGGCCCAACCGCAAGGAGGGAGCUGCCUAAGGUGGGAUCGGUGAUUGGGAUGAAGUCGUAACAAGGUAGCCGUACCGGAAGGUGCGGCUGGAUCACCUCCUUUCUAAGGAGCA